rnacentral:ncRNA from 1 species
AAACAAAACCUGUGCACAAAGGUUUACAGCAGCCUUAUUCAAGAUAGCCAAAAAUAACCCAGGUGUUUUUCAACAGGUAAAUAAAAAACUUGUGACAUUUUCAUACCAUGAACUACUACUCAGCAAUAAGAGGGAACAAACUUGAUAAAAACAUCUUGGAUAAAUCUCCAGAGAACCAUGCUGAAUGAAAAAGAAAAGCCAAUCCUUAUUGACUCUAGAUAACCUCAGGCUAAUCACACACCUCCGCAUAGUGGCAACGACCCAUUCAAACAUCUACCAUAUCAACUUUUGAUGGCAGUCACUCUGCCUCCUAUGGUGACCAUGGGUGACAGGAAUGAGGGUUUGAUUCAGGAGUGAGAGCCUGAGAAAUGGCUACCACAUCAAAGGAAGGCAGCAAGCAUACAAAUUACCCACUCCCAAAUCAGGAAGUGGUGA